rnacentral:rRNA from 1 species
AGUGAACGCUGGCGGUAGGCCUAACACAUGCAAGUCGAACGGCAGCACAGUAAGAGCUUGCUCUUACGGGUGGCGAGUGGCGGACGGGUGAGGAAUACAUCGGAAUCUACUUUUUCGUGGGGGAUAACGUAGGGAAACUUACGCUAAUACCGCAUACGACCUACGGGUGAAAGCAGGGGAUCUUCGGACCUUGCGCGAUUGAAUGAGCCGAUGUCGGAUUAGCUAGUUGGCGGGGUAAAGGCCCACCAAGGCGACGAUCCGUAGCUGGUCUGAGAGGAUGAACAGCCACACUGGAACUGAGACACGGUCCAGACUCCUACGGGAGGCAGCAGUGGGGAAUAUUAGGCAAUGGGCGCAAGCCUGAUCCAGCCAUACCGCGUGGGUGAAGAAGGCCUUCGGGUGGUAAAGCCCUUUUGUUGGGAGAGAAAAGCAGCAGGUUAAUACCCCACUGUUCUGACGGUACCCAAAGAAUAAGCACCGGCUAACUUCGUG